rnacentral:rRNA from 1 species
GACAGAGGGUGCAAACGUUGUUCGGAAUCACUGGGCUUAAAGGGCGCGUAGGCGGCUGCGCAAGUCCGGGGUGAAAGCCUCCAGCUCAACUGGAGAAGUGCCUUGGAAACUGUGCAGCUCGAGCGAGGUAGGGGUGAUGGGAACUUCCGGUGGAGCGGUGAAAUGCGUUGAUAUCGGAAGGAACGCCGGUGGCGAAAGCGCAUCACUGGACCUCUCCUGACGCUGAGGCGCGAAAGCCAGGGGAGCAAACGGG